UUAUCCUCAGUAGGGGUUAGUUUAUCCUCAGCAGGGGUUGGUUUAUCCUCAGUAGGGGUUAGUUUAUCCUCAGUAGGGGUUGGUUCACUUUUAGCAGGGGUUGGUUUAUCCUCAGCAGGGGUUGGUUUAUCCUCAGCAGGGGUUGGUUCACUUUUAGCAGGGGUUGGUUUAUCCUCAGCAGGGGUUUGUUUAUCCUCAGCAGGGGUUGGUUUCUCCUCAGCAGGGGUUGGUUUCUCCUCAGCAGGGGUUGGUGUAUCCUCAGCAGGGGUUGGUGUAUCCUCAGCAGGGGUUGGUGUAUCCUCAGCAGGGGUUGGUGUAUCCUCAGUAGGGGUUGGUGUAUCCUCAGCGGGGGUUGGUUUAUCCUCAGUAGGGGUUGGUUUAUCCUCAGCAGGGGUUGGUUCACUUUUAGCAGGGGUUGGGUUCUCCUCAGCAGGGGUUGGUGUAUCCUCAGCAGGGGUUGGUGUAUCCUCAGCAGGGGUUGUUUUAUUCUCAGCAGGUAUUUGCGUAUCCUCAGCAGGGGUUGGUUUAUCCUCAGCAGGGGUUAGUUCACUUUUAGCAGGGGUUGGUUUAUCCUCUGCAGGGGUUUGUUUAUCUUCUGUGUAUUCUUCAGCAUUUCUCCCAUAAAAGAUUUCAAUUU